UACGAACCGUGCGAACGUUGUUCGGAAUCACUGGGCUUAAAGGGCGCGUAGGCGGGCGGCCAAGUCCGGGGUGAAAGCCCCCAGCUCAACUGGGGAAGUGCCUUGGAAACUGGUCGUCUUGAGGGAGGUAGGGGCAUGUGGAACUUCGGGUGGAGCGGUGAAAUGCGUUGAUAUCCGAAGGAACGCCGGUGGCGAAGGCGACGUGCUGGAUCUCUUCUGACGCUGAGGCGCGAAAGCCAGGGUAGCGAACGGG
rnacentral:rRNA from 1 species